GGCCAUGGAGUACCUAUGCCGACGCCCAUUCGUGUAUGUAUACCCAAUCCGAAGUUGCGGGCCUUGCGGCUAGGUUUUUUGCUGCCUUGAGCGCGACGAGAGCGGCAACGGGAGAUCAACCGACUUUUCUUCGUGGUUUGUCAUCUUUCUCUUGUAUCUCAUUCUCAAAUCUCGACAACUUCAUUCAUUUCGCAAGAACAUCAAUUUCAUUCAUUUCGCUCGUUCGGGACGGACAGUCGAUCCGGUAGGGGUUUUUAAGGGCGUUCAUCUUCUCCAUCCAAACAAAAUUUCUGAGGAUUGUGGCUUGGCAGAGUCAAGCGAGCUGCUUUCGAGGUUGGAGUUUAUGGCAAUCAUUGUCUUACAGACGUGUUUAGUGGACCACCAUCACAGGAGCAGAGUUACCACCAAUAGCCUAUUAAUUAACGAGGGCCAAACAAGAAGUAUUAAAAGGCCUCAUUUUAUAUGUAUGGCAAUAGGUAUUCAAUUAAAAUAAGUGAAUUAUUAAAAGGAAUAACAAGUUAUCAAAGAUUUAGGUGAGUAAUAUUUUUAGUUUAUGAUAAUUUAUAGUUGAAUACUGUUAGUAAUACAACUUAUCAUUGAAUGAUUAAAAGAAAUUUUCUAAACUACCAUAUGGAGUUCAUGUAUUUAUGAGAUUAGAUAGAAAAAAAGCAUUUGUAGUUCAGCCUUAUGUAUUGUCAAAUUUAAAAGUAGAUACACAUAAAUAAAUGAAAGAAUUUAAUAAAAAAAUGUAUAUACCUGCUGAUUGAUGUUGUUCA